AGCGAACGCUGGCGGCAGGCUUAACACAUGCAAGUCGAGCGGGCACUUCGGUGUCAGCGGCAGACGGGUGAGUAACACGUGGGAACGUGCCCUUCGGUUCGGAAUAACGCUGGGAAACUAGCGCUAAUACCGGAUACGCCCUUUUGGGGAAAGGUUUACUGCCGAAGGAUCGGCCCGCGUCUGAUUAGCUAGUUGGUGGGGUAAUGGCCUACCAAGGCGACGAUCAGUAGCUGGUCUGAGAGGAUGAUCAGCCACACUGGGACUGAGACACGGCCCAGACUCCUACGGGAGGCAGCAGUGGGGAAUAUUGGACAAUGGGCGCAAGCCUGAUCCAGCCAUGCCGCGUGAGUGAUGAAGGCCUUAGGGUUGUAAAGCUCUUUUGUCCGGGACGAUAAUGACGGUACCGGAAGAAUAAGCCCCGGCUAACUUCGUG
rnacentral:rRNA from 1 species